rnacentral:rRNA from 1 species
GAUGAACGCUGGCGGCGUGCCUAAUACAUGCAAGUCGAGCGAACGGACGAGAAGCUUGCUUCUCUGAUGUUAGCGGCGGACGGGUGAGUAACACGUGGAUAACCUACCUAUAAGACUGGGAUAACUUCGGGAAACCGGAGCUAAUACCGGAUAAUAUUUUGAACCGCAUGGUUCAAAAGUGAAAGACGGUCUUGCUGUCACUUAUAGAUGGAUCCGCGCUGCAUUAGCUAGUUGGUAAGGUAACGGCUUACCAAGGCAGCGAUGCAUAGCCGACCUGAGAGGGUGAUCGGCCACACUGGAACUGAGACACGGUCCAGACUCCUACGGGAGGCAGCAGUAGGGAAUCUUCCGCAAUGGGCGAAAGCCUGACGGAGCAACGCCGCGUGAGUGAUGAAGGUCUUCGGAUCGUAAAACUCUGUUAUUAGGGAAGAACAUAUGUGUAAGAAACUGUGCACAUCUUGACGGUACCUAAUCAGAAAGCCACGGCUAACUACGUG